AGAGUUUGAUCCUGGCUCAGGACGAACGCUGGCGGCGUGCUUAACACAUGCAAGUCGAGCGGACGUAGCAAUACGUUAGCGGCGGACGGGUGAGUAACGCGUGAGCAACCUGCCUUUAUCAGGGGGAUAACACUUAGAAAUAGGUGCUAAUACCGCAUAAGACCACAGUCGGGCAUCCGACAGGGGUAAAAGCAUAUACGGAUAAAGAUGGGCUCGCGUCCCAUUAGCUAGUUGGUAGGGUAACGGCCUACCGAGGCGACGAUGGGUAGCCGACCUGAGAGGGUGAUCGGCCACAUUGGAACUGAGAAACGGUCCAAACUCCUACGGGAGGCAGCAGUGGGGAAUAUUGGGCAAUGGAGGAAACUCUGACCCAGCAACGCCGCGUGAAGGAUGAAGGUUUUCGGAUUGUAAACUUCUGUCGCGAGGGACGAAGAAUGACGGUACCUCGUAAGAAAGCCCCGGCAAACUACGUG
rnacentral:rRNA from 1 species